rnacentral:tRNA from 1 species
UUUUUUAUGGCUGAGUAAAAUAAUAGCGAUAGAUUUUUAAUCUAUUUACGAAAGGAUAAUUAAUCUUUCUUUGCGAU